ensembl:lncRNA
GUUCCUGUCCCUAAUCCCUACUUCAUCAAUGAAGUGUUUCCUUAAGAAAUACUCUGUCUGAGUGCAGUUUGAAACCAGGUUGACAGGGGAGAAGACAGCAUCAGUGAGACCAUCCAGACAUGCCACAUGGAGCAGAUUUCUUUGGUGAGACCUAUGGGCUUCAGGACUGGCUCAGCUCUGACUUCUCAUUUCAGUGGUGGUGCUGCUGUAGGAAUGACAACAUGCAAAUUGCAGCACGGAGGUGGUCACCUCAUCGAGGCUCAGGAGGUUAGGCAGUAGGGGACCAUGAGGAGGAACAGAAGUAACAGGUAAGGAGUAUCAGAUGGGGAAGCAAGAAUGCCUUUUCAAGAAAUCUGUUCAUUGUGCUGCAAAAGCCUAGAGUUAAGAGAAUAUGUCCAGCUUCUAGAAUUACA